rnacentral:rRNA from 1 species
UGGAGAGUGGCAGACGGGUGAGUAACACGUGGGAACCUUCCCUAUGGUUCGGAAUAGCCCAGGGAAACUUGGGGUAAUACCGGAUAAGCCCUUCGGGGGAAAGAUUUAUCGCCAUUGGAUGGGCCCGCGUCGGAUUAGCUAGUUGGUGGGGUAACGGCCUACCAAGGCGACGAUCCGUAGCUGGUCUGAGAGGAUGAUCAGCCACACUGGGACUGAGACACGGCCCAGACUCCUACGGGAGGCAGCAGUGGGGAAUAUUGGACAAUGGGCGCAAGCCUGAUCCAGCCAUGCCGCGUGAGUGACGAAGGUCUUCGGAUUGUAAAGCUCUUUUGGCGGGGACGAUAAUGACGGUACCCGCAGAAUAAGCCCCGGCUAACUUCGUGCCAGCAGCCGCGGUAAUACGAAGGGGGCUAGCGUUGUUCGGAAUCACUGGGCGUAAAGCGCACGUAGGCGGAUGUGUCAGUCAGGGGUGAAAUCCCGGAGCUCAACUCCGGAACUGCCUCUGAUACAGCACGUCUUGAGUCCGGAAGAGGUGGGUGGAAUUCCUAGUGUAGAGGUGAAAUUCGUAGAUAUUAGGAAGAACACCGGUGGCGAAGGCGGCCCACUGGUCCGGUACUGACGCUGAGGUGCGAAAGCGUGGGGAGCAAACA